UUGCUGCAACCUCGGCCGUCUGCGACGCCGGACGCGCGGCGCGGCACCGCCCUGACGCCUCAGGGCCACGUCGCAUCGCUGCCUCCGCCCCUGCUUUGUCGCCCCUUCCUCUCCCCUGGUCCUGGUCAGCGAUGUACUCGCCGACCGGCCGUGCUGGCGGAUCUACUCGGUGCACCAUCUCUCCAUCUCCACGCGGCUCUGCUCCACGGCACGGCCAGCCUUCCCAGCGUCUGGCUCAACUGGCGGCGCGUCUUGCCUCUUCCUCUCCCCACCGAAUGGUUUUCAUAUUGUCUUCUCUUCUAAUUGGCACAGUGGUAGAGUGCUGCCUGUAACUCCACACAGGUGCUCAGCCUACGAAAUGCAAGGGCAUUUUCAUAUUAUUUUGGUAUAGUGUUAUCUAGAAGAAAAACUUCUUGCUCAAUGCUUCAUUAGCGUCUAAUGUAUCCUAAUGCUCCUAUGGAUGGACUUAUGUGUUAUACCUUGCUAUUGCCACUCAAUGCAUUUAGAUACAGUAAGUUCCAAUAUCCUCCACAAUGUCAGUUUUAUAUCUCCAAGUAUUUUGUUUAGUGCAUUUUGACUUUUCCUUAACUUUCGAUGCUAUAGGUAUGUUGAUAAACUGACUUAUCCUGCUCUCUAGCUAUCUCAUAUGAUCUUGGACAUUCCUACACAUCUUUCAAUUAGUAAGUCGUGUGGUAUUUAUGAGACUACAAUAUGUUUCUGUUUUUUGGGUUCCCUCGCAGUACAGCUUACCUUCU